CCAGACUCCUACGGGAGGCAGCAGUGGGGAAUAUUGCACAAUGGGGGAAACCCUGAUGCAGCAACGCCGCGUGAGUGAAGAAGUAUUUCGGUAUGUAAAGCUCUAUCAGCAGGGAAGAAAAUGACGGUACCUGAGUAAGAAGCCCCGGCUAACUACGUGCCAGCAGCCGCGGUAAUACGGAGGAUGCGAGCGUUAUCCGGAUUUAUUGGGUUUAAAGGGUGCGCAGGCGGCACGGCAAGCCGGCGGUCAAAUCGCGGGGCUCACCCCCGCCCAGCCGUCGGAACUGCCGGGCUAGAGUGGGCGAGAAGUGCGCGGAAUGCGUGGUGUAGCGGUGAAAUGCAUAGAUAUCGCGCAGAACCCCGAUUGCGAAGGCAGCGUGCCGUGCCGCCACUGACGCUGAGGCACGAAAGCGCGGGGAUCGAACAGGAUUAGAUACCCUUGUAG
rnacentral:rRNA from 1 species